rnacentral:rRNA from 1 species
AACGCACCUUGCGCUCCUUGGUAUUCCGAGGAGCAUGCCUGUUUGAGUGUCAUUAAAUUCUCAACCUUUGUUAACUUUUUGGUUAGCAAAUGGCUUGGAUGUGGGGGUAUGCAGGUUUCUCUAUUGAAAUUAGCUCCCCUGAAAUACAUUAGCUGGUUGCCUUGUGUAAACUUGUCUAUUGGUGUGAUAAUUAUCACCGUGGCUGGAUUGCUUUAACGUCUAUGCCCAACCUUUUCCAUUGACUUGGAAAAACCCCACUUGACAUUUUGACCUCAAAUCAGGUAGGACUACCCGCUGAACUUAA